CUGGUCGGGGUAGUGCAAGUGAAUUGAACUUCUGCGUUGGUGUACAUUGUAUUCUUGAAAUGCACCCAACUUAAAAUUAAAUGUUGUUAUUACAUUUGAAGGAAAAUCAUGUUAAGUUGUCGUGAGCAUGGCUUGAUGGCACCUAUUAUGGCACUUGAAAAGAUUUUAUAUGUAAAAAAGAAAAGAAAACUUGACUGACCCGUGUGUUUGCAUUGCAAGGGAUUUCCAUCUUUGGAAUCUAAAAGCAGGUAAGCCACUGACUAACGCACAUUGCGCCAGUACCUUAUUCCACUGUGCGUGUGACAGCGGCUAACCUGUUUUUGGAGUUACCUCUGCGUCUCACCGUGGGAACGGCCCUCUGUCCGGCCAGACCCAUUCGAAUCGACCGAACGUUCGCAAGUUCAUCAUGUCCUAUUCAGAAUGUGGAAAUUGGUCUGUUUGUCUGCCGCCCUCCUUGUGGCCUUCCAGGGUACUGUUUCCUAAUUAAUAUCAAAUUAGCCUCUAUGUAUGCACUUCUAAAACUAAAAUAACCAUGGAGCGCGAAUCCAAAUAAUUACUCCUGAAGUCAGGACUCAGUCCACUGAGGAUUUGUGAAUACUGUUUGGUUUAGUUAACUCUUCUCAACACUUAACCUGUAACCAUAUCUGUAACUGUACACAGUGUACUUUUCCAUUUUCCAUGUCAAUGCCAACGUGUAUGAAGUGAACAUUGUAUCCCAAAGGAGACCCAGUAAACUUUGUUGAAAUCAAA